GCAGUGGAAGCUCAGUGGUUAAAGCAUUGGGUUAUUGAUUGGAAGGUUGUGAGUUCAAAUCUCAGCACCAACA